rnacentral:lncRNA from 1 species
CAGUUCUCCAGGGGCUCCCUUCCUGGCUUCUGGAGCCCGGCACUCGCACGCUGGUGAGGACGAGCCCUCGGCACAGGAGCAAUAAAUACCACAAGGUACCCUGAGACCCGUCCUUCUCCAGUGCUGGCGACUAACAAGGCCCAGGCUGGAUUUCAUGAUCGGCCCUAAGGUAGGACAGUCCGUCGGUUUUCUGCCUCACACUGGAAGGAACAUAAGGCUGCUUGAACUUACAGGCCCUACAAUGAUUUCUUGUUGCGCGACAGCAACACACAAACUAACGAGUGAGAAAAUGAGCCAGAAGAACCCCCGGGGAGCAGCGGUGCAGGCAGGUGGGUGGGACAUGCGGGGAGGGGGCAGGCCGCGGACAGACAGACGCCCGGACGGAGUGGUGGGCAGAUGGCAGACAGAUGAUAGACACACAGUAGGUGGACCCAGACCCUUCUGCAAAUGUGCCCUCAGAGACACGAUGAGGCUACUCGGCCCUGGGAGCAGGAGGGCAGCAGGCGGCACCGGAACCCCUGCCAUGCUCCCCGUCCAGACAAGCCUCCUCAGAGGCAGACGGCAGCACCGGGCACCCACGUGGUGGACACGGGGAACGUGGGGUGGGCUGUACUCGGGGCAACAGCUGGAGCCACACAACCUCAGGGAACCCAAACAGAAGACUGUCCCGACUUCAGGAGGCUCUCCUCCACGGAUCCUGUGUCUGUCCCAAAACACGUCAAGGGCCAUGGACGUGGUGGCCCCACUCGGUGCCGAGAGGCCCCCAGUGCUCCAGCAGGAUGCUAGCCUGGAGCUAGUGCCCAGGGAGCCGAGCACCUCCCCGGAGCACAGCAUUCCGGGUGAGAAGCGACUUCAGGCCCCCCCGGCAAUCGGGGGAAGACCCCACGGUUCCCCCAGAGCAGCAACAUGUGGCAGUGCCAGGAAUUUGGGGGGAAAUCAUGAAAACAGGUGGGCUCAGGUGGCAGGAUCAGCCAUGAAACACUCGGUGGAGACGUGUCCAAACCACGUGCAGCCUGGAGUCCCAGAGCCCUACAUCUCCACAUUAAGCUGCCCCUAAACCAGAGACCACAGUCGAUAAAUAGAUCCACUCACUCUGCACAGAAGCACUCGCUCUGGGGUGAGCAGCGGGGCUGGAGCUCUGCCUGCUGUCACCUUCCCAAAGGCGUGAC